rnacentral:rRNA from 1 species
UUAAGUUAUUAAGGGCGCACGGUGGAUGCCUUGGCACUAGAAGCCGAUGAAGGACGUUACUAACGACGAUAUGCUUUGGGGAGCUGUAAGUAAGCUUUGAUCCAGAGAUUUCCGAAUGGGGAAACCCAGCAUGAGUUAUGUCAUGUUAUCGAUAUGUGAAUACAUAGCAUAUCAGAAGGCACACCCGGAGAACUGAAACAUCUUAGUACCCGGAGGAAGAGAAAGAAAAUUCGAUUCCCUUAGUAGCGGCGAGCGAAACGGGAAGAGCCCAAACCAACAAGCUUGCUUGUUGGGGUUGUAGGACACUCUAUACGGAGUUACAAAGGACGACAUUAGACGAAUCAUCUGGAAAGAUGAAUCAAAGAAGGUGAUAAUCCUGUAGUCGAAAAUGUUGUCUCUCUUGAGUGGAUCCUGAGUACGACGGAGCACGUGAAAUUCCGUCGGAAUCUGGGAGGACCAUCUCCUAAGGCUAAAUACUCUCUAGUGACCGAUAGUGAACCAGUACCGUGAGGGAAAGGUGAAAAGCACCCCGGAAGGGGAGUGAAAUAGAACCUGAAACCGUGUGCUUACAAGUAGUCAGAGCCCGUUAAUGGGUGAUGGCGUGCCUUUUGUAGAAUGAACCGGCGAGUUACGAUUUGAUGCAAGGUUAAGCAGUAAAUGUGGAGCCGUAGCGAAAGCGAGUCUGAAUAGGGCGUUUAGUAUUUGGUCGUAGACCCGAAACCAGGUGAUCUACCCUUGGUCAGGUUGAAGUUCAGGUAACACUGAAUGGAGGACCGAACCGACUUACGUUGAAAAGUGAGCGGAUGAACUGAGGGUAGCGGAGAAAUUCCAAUCGAACCUGGAGAUAGCUGGUUCUCUCCGAAAUAGCUUUAGGGCUAGCCUCAAGUGAUGAUUAUUGGAGGUAGAGCACUGUUUGGACGAGGGGCCCCUCUCGGGUUACCGAAUUCAGACAAACUCCGAAUGCCAAUUAAUUUAACUUGGGAGUCAGAACAUGGGUGAUAAGGUCCGUGUUCGAAAGGGAAACAGCCCAGACCACCAGCUAAGGUCCCAAAAUAUAUGUUAAGUGGAAAAGGAUGUGGCGUUGCCCAGACAACUAGGAUGUUGGCUUAGAAGCAGCCAUCAUUUAAAGAGUGCGUAAUAGCUCACUAGUCGAGUGACACUGCGCCGAAAAUGUACCGGGGCUAAACAUAUUACCGAAGCUGUGGAUUGUCCUUUGGACAAUGGUAGGAGAGCGUUCUAAGGGCGUUGAAGCAUGAUCGUAAGGACAUGUGGAGCGCUUAGAAGUGAGAAUGCCGGUGUGAGUAGCGAAAGACGGGUGAGAAUCCCGUCCACCGAUUGACUAAGGUUUCCAGAGGAAGGCUCGUCCGCUCUGGGUUAGUCGGGUCCUAAGCUGAGGCCGACAGGCGUAGGCGAUGGAUAACAGGUUGAUAUUCCUGUACCACCUAUAAUCGUUUUAAUCGAUGGGGGGACGCAGUAGGAUAGGCGAAGCGUGCGAUUGGAUUGCACGUCUAAGCAGUAAGGCUGAGUAUUAGGCAAAUCCGGUACUCGUUAAGGCUGAGCUGUGAUGGGGAGAAGACAUUGUGUCUUCGAGUCGUUGAUUUCACACUGCCGAGAAAAGCCUCUAGAUAGAAAAUAGGUGCCCGUACCGCAAACCGACACAGGUAGUCAAGAUGAGAAUUCUAAGGUGAGCGAGCGAACUCUCGUUAAGGAACUCGGCAAAAUGACCCCGUAACUUCGGGAGAAGGGGUGCUCUUUAGGGUUAACGCCCAGAAGAGCCGCAGUGAAUAGGCCCAAGCGACUGUUUAUCAAAAACACAGGUCUCUGCUAAACCGUAAGGUGAUGUAUAGGGGCUGACGCCUGCCCGGUGCUGGAAGGUUAAGAGGAGUGGUUAGCUUCUGCGAAGCUACGAAUCGAAGCCCCAGUAAACGGCGGCCGUAACUAUAACGGUCCUAAGGUAGCGAAAUUCCUUGUCGGGUAAGUUCCGACCCGCACGAAAGGCGUAACGAUUUGGGCACUGUCUCAACGAGAGACUCGGUGAAAUCAUAGUACCUGUGAAGAUGCAGGUUACCCGCGACAGGACGGGAAGACCCCGUGGAGCUUUACUGUAGCCUGAUAUUGAAAUUCGGCACAGCUUGUACAGGAUAGGUAGGAGCCUUUGAAACGUGAGCGCUAGCUUACGUGGAGGCGCUGGUGGGAUACUACCCUAGCUGUGUUGGCUUUCUAACCCGCACCACUUAUCGUGGUGGGAGACAGUGUCAGGCGGGCAGUUUGACUGGGGCGGUCGCCUCCUAAAAGGUAACGGAGGCGCUCAAAGGUUCCCUCAGAAUGGUUGGAAAUCAUUCAUAGAGUGUAAAGGCAUAAGGGAGCUUGACUGCGAGACCUACAAGUCGAGCAGGGUCGAAAGACGGACUUAGUGAUCCGGUGGUUCCGCAUGGAAGGGCCAUCGCUCAACGGAUAAAAGCUACCCCGGGGAUAACAGGCUUAUCUCCCCCAAGAGUUCACAUCGACGGGGAGGUUUGGCACCUCGAUGUCGGCUCAUCGCAUCCUGGGGCUGUAGUCGGUCCCAAGGGUUGGGCUGUUCGCCCAUUAAAGCGGUACGCGAGCUGGGUUCAGAACGUCGUGAGACAGUUCGGUCCCUAUCCGUCGUGGGCGUAGGAAAUUUGAGAGGAGCUGUCCUUAGUACGAGAGGACCGGGAUGGACAUACCUCUGGUGUACCAGUUGUCGUGCCAACGGCAUAGCUGGGUAGCUAUGUGUGGACGGGAUAAGUGCUGAAAGCAUCUAAGCAUGAAGCCCCCCUCAAGAUGAGAUUUCCCAACUUCGGUUAUAAGAUCCCUCAAAGAUGAUGAGGUUAAUAGGUUCGAGGUGGAAGCAUGGUGACAUGUGGAGCUGACGAAUACUAAUCGAUCGAAGACUUAAUC